GGCUACCUGCAGUCGACGGUGAGCAGAGCUUGCUCUGUGGAUCAGUGGCGAACGGGUGAGUAACACGUGAGCAACCUGCCCCUGACUCUGGGAUAAGCGCUGGAAACGGCGUCUAAUACUGGAUAUGAGCUGCGACCGCAUGGUCAGCAGUUGGAAAGAUUUUUCGGUCUGGGAUGGGCUCACGGCCUAUCAGCUUGUUGGUGAGGUAAUGGCUCACCAAGGCGUCGACGGGUAGCCGGCCUGAGAGGGUGACCGGCCACACUGGGACUGAGACACGGCCCAGACUCCUACGGGAGGCAGCAGUGGGGAAUAUUGCACAAUGGGCGCAAGCCUGAUGCAACAACGCCGCGUGAGGGACGACGGCCUUCGGGUUGUAAACCUCUUUUAGCAGGGAAAAAGCAAAAGUGACGGUACCUGCAAAAAAAGCGCCGGCUAACUACGUGCCAGCAGCCGCGGUAAUACUUAGGGCGCAAGCGUUAUCCGGAAUUAUUGGGCGAAAA
rnacentral:rRNA from 2 species